GUGCGCGUAGGCCGUCGGCACGAUGUCGGUGACGUUGAGGUCGUCGCGACGCACCCCGGCGGCGAUCCCUCCGCCCUGCGCGAUC
rnacentral:tRNA from 1 species